GACGAACGCUGGCGGCGUGCUUAACACAUGCAAGUCGAACGAUGAAGAAGAGAAACGCGAACUUCGGUUCAAAUUUCACUUCGGAUUAGUGGCAGACGGGUGAGUAACGCGUGAGCAACCUACCUCUUACAAAGGGAUAGCCUCGGGAAACCGUGAUUAAUACCAUAUGACACAUUCAUAAGGCAUCUUAAGAAUGUUAAAGCUACGGCGGUAAGAGAUGGGCUCGCGUCCCAUUAGCUAGUUGGUGAGGUAACGGCCCACCAAGGCGACGAUGGGUAACCGGCCUGAGAGGCUGAACGGUCACAUUGGAACUGGGACACGGUCCAAACUCCUACGGGAGGCAGCAGUGGGGAAUAUUGCACAAUGGAGGGAACUCUGAUGCAGCGACGCCGCGUGAGCGAUGAAGGAAUUCGUUUCGUAAAGCUCUGUUCUAUGGGAAGAAAAGGACUGUACCAUAGGAGAAAGCCCCGGCUAAAUACGUG
rnacentral:rRNA from 1 species